rnacentral:rRNA from 1 species
UACAGAGGGCGCGAGCGUUGUCCGGAUUUACUGGGCGUAAAGCGCGCGUAGGCGGCUCGUUAAGUCCGGUCUGAAAGCCCCCGGCUCAACCGGGGAAGGGGGCUGGAAACUGGCGCACUGGAGGGCGGCAGAGGCGUGUGGAAUUCCCGGUGUAGCGGUGAAAUGCGUAGAGAUUAGGAGGAACACCCGUGGCGAAGGCGGCACGCUGGGCCGGCCCUGACGCUGAGGCGCGAAAGCGUGGGGAGCGAACGGG